GUUUAUUUAUUGGUUUCCUAUGAAUUUCAGAAUAUAUCAAUAAUCAAAUUAGUUUUUGCAUUUACAUUGACAAGUAAAUUUUCUGCCUCCAUAAAAAAUACUUGCAAUCAUCAGUCAAAAAUGAGUUUUUUGAAGAUUAUUCACGGUUUUAGCCAAGUUCCACAAUUUUAUAACAUUACAAGACAGCUAUCAGUGAAUGCAGUGUUUAUCAAAUAUUCACCUGUCAAAGAAUCAAAACCACUUAGUCCUAGAAUGCAAGAAUUCAAAAAAAAAUUGCGAGAAACAGCUACCAUUGAUAAGCUGGAAGAGUUGUCAGAACACCCAUUUCAAGAAAAGGAACCUUUGAAGCCCUUUCCCGACAAUACAAAUCCCGAGACUGGAGAGGUAGGUGGACCAAUAGGACCUGAACCAACCAGGUAUGGCGACUGGGAGCGCAAGGGAAAAGUUUCAGACUUUUAAAAAAAUUAUUAUUUGCAACAAGACAGUGUUAUGUACGUCGUGGAAAGACUUCAAAGCUACAGUAAAAAACUCGUUGUAUACAAAAAUUUUAUUUGAAUAAAUUUAGAAACUUA